rnacentral:rRNA from 1 species
UACGGAGGGUGCAAGCGUUAAUCGGAAUUACUGGGCGUAAAGCGUGCGCAGGCGGUUGUUUAAGUCUGUCGUGAAAUCCCCGGGCUCAACCUGGGAAUGGCGAUGGAUACUGGACAGCUAGAGUGUGUCAGAGGAUGGUGGAAUUCCCGGUGUAGCGGUGAAAUGCGUAGAGAUCGGGAGGAACAUCAGUGGCGAAGGCGGCCAUCUGGGACAACACUGACGCUGAAGCACGAAAGCGUGGGGAGCAAACAGG